CCCAAGCAGCCAGGAAUCGAACUGCCUACCUUCUGAUUAGUAGGUGACCUGUUUGAUCUCCUGAGCCACAGGCACCCCUAAAUAUUGUGAUUGUGGUAAUGGGAAUUUGCUUGAAAUGCAGCAUUAUAGGUGUAACAAAAAUGAAUGACUGUUUGACACAAGUGGAAAGCUUUUAAAGUGAUAUCUUUUUCCAAUAGUGCCCAAUGCAUUUAAAAGGUAACUGGGAAGGUUCAGUGUCCUUCUUCACUUCCUAUAUGAAAGACUUUGGAGUUCACAGUUAUAUAUUUGCAGAGGAAAACCCAGAGGAUUAACCAUUUUUGACCAACAACUGUGGAUUCUUGCUCUACCUGUUUGUGCCUGAUCGAAUUUAAUCUUAAAAGGAAAUGAAUAAUUUUGUACUUUUGAUUACUCCAAGUAUAGCCUGUGUUGGAUUUUAUCUACUGGAUUACUACUUCCACAGUUGGAAUAUUCCAGGCACGGCCAGAAGGGAAUGCCAUGGGACCUAGUAUAACCUCUCUUCUCUCUCGAUUAAUCUCAAAGUUUUAGUUUUUAGAAAUCAGCAUUAGCACAGUAUAGAUUAAUUAAGUUAAAAUAAAUCUCAGUUGAUGUUAUUAUGUGAUUCUUUUUAAUUUAUUGAGCUUUUGCACCUGAGAUGACUCUUGUGAUUUGGUGCUACCCCUGUUGAAUUGGUUAAAUAAAAUUUUCUGCAUUAAAAGGAUUAAUUGUGAACAUUCCAUUUUUGACUUUUUGUGAAACAGUAAAGGAAAUCUUUUGGAAAUGUGUUAUAUCUGAUGAUUAUAUAUCUUUAAUAGUUAUUACAGGUUGCUCUAGCCCUUAAAAAUGAACAAAUCCCUGGGGCCCAUUCUUUUCCAGGGCACUAAAUUAUGACCCAGCCUAUUACUAAAACCAAGGAUCAUUGAGUAAAGGUGCGGUUAACAUAUGUGGCAAAUUUUACUUGACCUGCGAGGCUAAUCAGGCAGGGGUUUUCAUCAGGGGAAGCAGGGUAGACAGGUUAGAAAUCUCUCUCUUCAUCACUGGCUCAAUUAAAUUCUGCAUAACCUGUUGGGGAAUACCCCGUGGAAUCAGAAACACAAAUCUCUUAAAGGGAGUCCAAAGUUCCUGUAUCAGACUUCCUGUACAUGAGUGUGUGUGUGUGUGUGUGUGUGUGUGUUUUCCAUACCUGGUAUGUGUGCUGUCCAGAGGAGGCUUGUCUCUGUGUGUCCUGGUGAGCCUUGAGCAGCAGCUUCACCAAUCGUGGAAUUGCACCUGCCUCUCUCAGCGGCGCCUGAUUAGCUGGGCACAAUGCCAGAUUCCGGAUGAGACCUACUGUAGCCUGAGGACAAAAUAGACAUCAAGACUUGUCUCCAAAGGUGAUGUGGGACAGCUUUAAAAUAAACUUUGCUUCCACAUGGCAGAGCCUGUUACUGUAUGGACAUUCAGUGAGCAGUCAAGUCUCUUACAGUGCAUUCAAGUUUACUUACCAGUGUGUGAUGCUACAUAUCAAAGGAAACCACAAGGAUGAGAGAAAAAAUUAUAAGUUUUCAGCUAUUGCUCACUGCUGAAGUGGCAGCUGGGCAGGUUCUCAGCAGCCUGACAUCAAUGCAGUUUUGUUGGUUCCAUAAAAGCUUUGAAUGUCGUUUGCAAGCACUACAUGCAAGCUUACUGACAUUUCAGGGAGAAAUGCAUGCUGGGAAGGGUUUCCCCCCAAAAGAAAAUUCUAAAUUCAAGGACUUUUACAAAAGUGUUUAUGUGAAUUUUCCAAAAACUUUCCUGUUGUCAUAAUCCUGAGUCUGUGACUGAGCAUUUUGUGUUUUGGACUGUCAUAUGCUGUUAUGUAAUAUUGCUGUGAUUCUCAGUUUAUUGUGGGUUUUUGCACUUUUGUACCUUUUGUAGUAAUUCCUGGUUGGUUUCUCUAUCAUCCUCAGGCAUUCUUAGUUUAGUUAUCUGAGUUUUUUUCUUGGUUAUAGUUAAUUGUAUUUAGGGGCAGCCAUCUGCCAGUUAGGGGUGAGGGGCAGGAGACAGGACAAAAGACACUGUGAAAACAAGCCAGAGAUUAACAAUAGCUUUGUCGCUCUCUUACUUUGCUCUUCCUCUUCCUAUCCUCUUGCUCUGCUCUUCUUCUUGUCUCUACAUCUGUCUCUGUCUCUUUUUCCUCUCUUCCCUUCCCUUUUCUCUUCUUCUUUCUUCUCUCUGUGUGUGUGUGUGUGUGUGUGUGUGUGUGUGUGUGUGUGUGUGUGUGUGUGUGUGUGUGUGUGUGUGUGUAUUCUAGAUUUAGUUCUGUUACUAUCUGUGUCAUGGUUUUUGUCUGUGUUUUGUGUAACCAAUAUGUCUAAUAAACAGCUUACAUUGGAGCCUGCACAUCCCAGUGAUUUUUUUAGGGGAACUUUGGUUUUAAUUUUUGGCCAAAAGGAACAUGGAGACCCCUAAAACCAUGACCCAACAAUACCCCAAGAAAACCCACACAAACAAAGGGAGAACAUGCAAAUUCUGUACAAAAAGGUUCCAGCCAAGGUGGAUUUGACCACAGGACCUUUUUGCUGUGAGGAAACAGUGCUAACCGUUGUACCACCGUGCUGAGCUUUAAGGCAAGCUCAGGGAGGACAGAAGGCCGUGGAGCAGAAGGGCAAAAGCUUGCUUGAUCUUGAUUUUCAGUAUGAAUACAGACCGUGAAAGUGCAGCAUCAAACCUUUUUGGGUUUUAAGAAGGAAAUGUCAGAAAAGUUACCACACAGAUAACUGGCUUAUGGUGGCCAAGUGUUAAUAGGGAUAUCACUUUUUGAUCCUUCGAUGUCAGCUCUUCCUAUCAUUGUGAAGCAGAAUUCACCAAGCACUGGCUUGUUCACCUACUAAUAGGGAACGUGAGCUGGGAUUAGACCAUCGUGAGACACAUUAGUUUUACCUCACUGAUGAUGCGGUCUUGCAAUAGUAAUCCUGCUCAGUAUGAGAGGAACCAGAGGUUCAGACAUUUUGGUGUAUGUGCUUGGAUAAGGAGCCAAAGGUGCAAAAAUCACAAGUAUUUAUUUCUGUAGAACAUUGUUUAUAACACAUAGCCGAUGUUAAACCGAGGGGUCUCACUCUUUGGCACCAUGCACAUACAGUUGUGCAAUCCCAGUGCUUCUGUUUGACUUGUCCAUUUGUAUCACUUCUGAAAUUUACCCUUCUUUGACAGGACUCAGCAAUUGAUUAAGUCAUGCUUAAAUUUUGAUUUUAUUUUUGUUUAAAAAGAUUAUCAGUGCAGUUAAAUAAUUGUUUUAUGCUUCCAUGUUCAUAAAAACUAGUCACCAAU
rnacentral:rRNA from 1 species